CCAUAGCUGGUUUGAGAGGAUGAUCAGCCACACUGGGACUGAGACACGGCCCAGACUCCUACGGGAGGCAGCAGUGGGGAAUCUUAGACAAUGGGCGCAAGCCUGAUCUAGCCAUGCCGCGUGAGCGAUGAAGGCCUUAGGGUUGUAAAGCUCUUUCAGUGGGGAAGAUAAUGACGGUACCCACAGAAGAAGCCCCGGCUAACUCCGUGCCAGCAGCCGCGGUAAUACGGAGGGGGCUAGCGUUAUUCGGAAUUACUGGGCGUAAAGCGCACGUAGGCGGAUCGGAAAGUUGGGGGUGAAAUCCCAGGGCUCAACCCUGGAACUGCCUUCAAAACUCCCGGUCUGGAGUUCGAGAGAGGUAAGUGGAAUUCCGAGUGUAGAGGUGAAAUUCGUAGAUAUUC
rnacentral:rRNA from 1 species